AGUGAACGCUGGCGGUAGGCCUAACACAUGCAAGUCGAACGGCAGCACAGUAAGAGCUUGCUCUUACGGGUGGCGAGUGGCGGACGGGUGAGGAAUACAUCGGAAUCUACUUUUUCGUGGGGGAUAACGUAGGGAAACUUACGCUAAUACCGCAUACGACCUACGGGUGAAAGCAGGGGAUCUUCGGACCUUGCGCGAUUGAAUGAGCCGAUGUCGGAUUAGCUAGUUGGCGGGGUAAAGGCCCACCAAGGCGACGAUCCGUAGCUGGUCUGAGAGGAUGGUCAGCCACACUGGAACUGAGACACGGUCCAGACUCCUACGGGAGGGAGCAGUGGGGAAUAUUGGACAAUGGGCGCAAGCCUGAUCCAGCCAUACCGCGUGGGUGAAGAAGGCCUUCGGGUGGUAAAGCCCUUUUGUUGGGAAAGAAAAGCAGCAGGUUAAUACCCCGCUGUUCUGACGGUACCCAAAGAAUAAGCACCGGCUAACUUCGUG
rnacentral:rRNA from 1 species